UACGUAGGGGGCUAGCGUUGCUCGGAAUCACUGGGCGUAAAGAGCGCGCAGGCGGCCAAGUCAGUCGAAUGUGAAAGCCCCCGGCUUAACUGGGGAGGGUCAUUCGAUACUGCUCGGCUCGAAGACAGGAGAGGGAAGUGGAAUUCCCGGUGUAGUGGUGAAAUGCGUAGAUAUCGGGAGGAACACCAGUGGCGAAGGCGACCUUCUGGCCUGUUCUUGACGCUGAGGCGCGAAAGCUAGGGGAGCAAACAGG
rnacentral:rRNA from 1 species